AAACGCUUGAAACCAGUCAUGCGGUUGGGAAAUCAGUCUAUAGCAAAGGGGAAAGGGGGGAAUGCAGACCGCAAGGCUGUCUCUUCUCUUAUCUCUUUUGCUCUGGAUGCACUUUUUCAAUUGCAGGUCAACAUCAGUUUCUUUUGCUGGACAAAACCUUGGAGAAGGUAGCAGCUUUGGCUGUGUUAUAGCUCCAGGGCGAUACAGUGAAGGGGACUGAGGACUAGCGGCGUGUGCUCUCGGGCAAGGCUGACUGGGCGCUGUGAGGUCGUUCGGGGUACAAUGCAUGCAUUUUGCUUCGUGUCUUCUUUACACUCGUCCAACUCGGCUCUUCCACGCCUAGGAUGUUGACUUAAUGGUUUUAAUCGA
rnacentral:rRNA from 1 species